GUGCCAGCAGCCGCGGUAAUACGGAGGAUCCAAGCGUUAUCCGGAUUUAUUGGGUUUAAAGGGUGCGUAGGCGGAAUAGUAAGUCAGUGGUGAAAGCCUGCAGCUUAACUGUAGAAUUGCCAUUGAUACUGCUAAUCUUGAGUACAUAUGAAGUGGGCGGAAUGUGUCAUGUAGCGGUGAAAUGCUUAGAUAUGACACAGAACACCGAUUGCGAAGGCAGCUCACUAAACUGUAACUGACGCUGAGGCACGAAAGCAUGGGGAGCAAACAGGAUUAGAAACCCUCGUAGUCC
rnacentral:rRNA from 1 species